rnacentral:rRNA from 1 species
UUAAGUUAACAAGGGCGCAUGGUGAAUGCCUUGGCACUAGGAGCCGAUGAAGGACGGGACUAACACCGAUAUGCUUCGGGGAGCUGUACGUAAGCUAUGAUCCGGAGAUUUCCGAAUGGGGCAACCCAGCAGUUUUAAUCAACUGUUACCACUAGAUGAAUUCAUAGUCUAGUUGGAGGUAAACGCUGUGAACUGAAACAUCUCAUUAGCAGCAGGAAUAUAAAGAAAUUUCGAUUCCCUAAGUAGCGGCGAGCGAACGGGGAACAGCCCAAACCAAAGUGCUUGCACUUUGGGGUUGUAGGACUGAACAUUUGAGUUACCAAAGAACUUGAUAGUCGAAGGAUUUGGGAAAAUCCGCCAUAGAUGGUGAUAGCCCAGUAGAUUAAAUCAAAUUCUCUCAGUUCAGGAUCCUGAGUACGGCGGAACACGUGAAAUUCCGUCGGAAUCCGGGAGGACCAUCUCCCAAGGCUAAAUACUACCUAGUGACCGAUAGUGAACCAGUACCGUGAGGGAAAGGUGAAAAGCACCCCGGGAGGGGAGUGAAAUAGUUCCUGAAACCAUGUGCCUACAAUAAGUCAGAGCGCGUUAAUGCGUGAUGGCGUGCCUUUUGUAGAAUGAACCGGCGAGUUAUGAUCCCGUGCAAGGUUAAGACUAAAAAGUCGGAGCCGUAGCGAAAGCGAGUCUGAAAUGGGCGAUUUGAGUACGAGGUUAUAGACCCGAAACCAGGUGACCUAUCCAUGUCCAGGUUGAAGGUGCGGUAAAACGCACUGGAGGACCGAACCCGUGUAAGUUGAAAAUUGCUGGGAUGAGGUGUGGAUAGCGGUGAAAUUCCAAACGAACUUGGAGAUAGCUGGUUCUCUCCGAAAUAGCUUUAGGGCUAGCCUCGGAUUAAGGAUCAUGGAGGUAGAGCACUAUUUGGACUAGGGGCCCGUCUUGGGUUACUGAAUUCAGAUAAACUCCGAAUGCCAUUGAUUCAUGUCCGGGAGUCAGACGAUGAGUGAUAAGAUCCACCGUCGAAAGGGGAACAGCCCAGACCAUCAGUUAAGGUCCCUAAAUGUAUGCUAAGUGGAAAAGGAUGUGGAGUUGCAUAGACAACUAGGAUGUUGGCUCAGAAGCAGCCACCAUUUAAAGAGUGCGUAAUAGCUCACUAGUCGAGUGAUCCUGCGCCGAAAAUGUACCGGGGCUAAGCAUACUACCGAAACCAUGGAUGCGACCAUUAGGUCGCGUGAUAGGAGAGCGUUCUAAGGGCGGUGAAGCAAGAUCGUGAGGACUUGUGGAGCGCUUAGAAGUGAGAAUGCCGGUAUGAGUAGCGAAAGAUAGGUGAGAAUCCUAUCCACCGAAUGACUAAGGUUUCCUGGGGAAGGCUCGUCCUCCCAGGGUUAGUCGGGACCUAAGUCGAGGCCGAGAGGCGUAGACGAUGGAUAACAGGUUGAGAUUCCUGUACUAGUUAAGUGCGUUUGAGCAAUGGAGGGACGCAGGAGGCUAAGAUGUGCAUUCUGUUGGAUUAGAAUGUCCAAGCAGUAAGUCUUGUGGAGAGUUAAAUGCUUUUCACUUUAAGGACAAGCUGUGAUGGGGAGCGAAAUUUAGUAGCGAAGCGUCUGAUGUCACACUGCCGAGAAAAGCUUCUAGUGAGUACUUAACUACCCGUACCGCAAACCGACACAGGUAGUCGAGGAGAGAAUCCUAAGGUGAGCGAGUGAACUCUCGUUAAGGAACUCGGCAAAAUGACCCCGUAACUUCGGGAGAAGGGGUGCUGAUCGCAAGAUCAGCCGCAGUGAAUAGGCCCAGGCGACUGUUUAUCAAAAACACAGGUCUCUGCAAAAUCGUAAGAUGACGUAUAGGGGCUGACGCCUGCCCGGUGCUGGAAGGUUAAAAGGAUGGGUUAGCUUCGGCGAAGCUCAGAAUUGAAGCCCCAGUAAACGGCGGCCGUAACUAUAACGGUCCUAAGGUAGCGAAAUUCCUUGUCGGGUAAGUUCCGACCCGCACGAAAGGCGUAACGAUCUGGGCACUGUCUCAACGAGAGACUCGGUGAAAUUAUAUUGUCCGUGAAGAUGCGGACUACCCGCGACAGGACGGAAAGACCCCAUGGAGCUUUACUGUAGCUUGAUAUUGAGUGUUUGUACAGCUUGUACAGGAUAGGUAGGAGCCAUAGAAACCGGAACGCUAGUUUCGGUGGAGGCGUUGGUGGGAUACUACCCUCGCUGUAUGACCACUCUAACCCGCACCACUAAUCGUGGUGGGAGACAGUGUCAGGUGGGCAGUUUGACUGGGGCGGUCGCCUCCUAAAAAGUAACGGAGGCGCCCAAAGGUUCCCUCAGAAUGGUUGGAAAUCAUUCGCAGAGUGUAAAGGCACAAGGGAGCUUGACUGCGAGACAGACAGGUCGAGCAGGGACGAAAGUCGGGCUUAGUGAUCCGGUGGUACCGUAUGGAAGGGCCAUCGCUCAACGGAUAAAAGCUACCCUGGGGAUAACAGGCUUAUCUCCCCCAAGAGUCCACAUCGACGGGGAGGUUUGGCACCUCGAUGUCGGCUCAUCGCAUCCUGGGGCUGUAGUCGGUCCCAAGGGUUGGGCUGUUCGCCCAUUAAAGCGGUACGCGAGCUGGGUUCAGAACGUCGUGAGACAGUUCGGUCCCUAUCCGUCGCGGGCGUAGGAAAUUUGAGAGGACCUGUCCUUAGUACGAGAGGACCGGGAUGGACAUACCUCUGGUGUACCAGUUGUGCCGCCAGGCGCAUCGCUGGGUAGCUACGUAUGGAUGUGAUAAACGCUGAAAGCAUCUAAGUGUGAAACACACCUCGAGAUGAGAUUUCCCAUUCCUUUAUGGAAGUAAGACCCCUGAAAGAUGAUCAGGUAGAUAGGUUAGAAGUGGCAGUGCGGUGACGCAUGAAGCGGACUAAUACUAAUCGGUCGAGGACUUAACCAA